AGAGUUUGAUCCUGGCUCAGGAUGAACGCUGGCGGCAUGCCUAAUACAUGCAAGUCGAACGAGAGGAAGGAAAGCUUGCUUUUCUGAAUCUAGUGGCGAACGGGUGAGUAACACGUAGGUAACCUGCCCAUGUGCCCGGGAUAACUUCUGGAAACGGAUGCUAAAACCGGAUAGGUAGCAGACAAGCAUUUGACUGCUAUUAAAGUGGCCUUGGCCAUGAACAUGGAUGGACCUGCGGUGCAUUAGCUGGUUGGUGAGGUAACGGCCCACCAAGGCGACGAUGCAUAGCCGGCCUGAGAGGGCGGACGGCCACAUUGGGACUGAGACACGGCCCAAACUCCUACGGGAGGCAGCAGUAGGGAAUUUUCGUCAAUGGGGGGAACCCUGAACGAGCAAUGCCGCGUGAGUGAAGACGGUCUUCGGAUUGUAAAGCUCUGUUGUGAGAGAAAAAGGAUAUAUAUAGGAAAUGAUAUGUAUUUGAUGGUAUCUCACCAGAAAGUCACGGCUAACUACGUGCCAGCAGCCGCGGUAAUACGUAGGUGGCGAGCGUUAUCCGGAAUGAUUGGGCGUAAAGGGUACGUAGGCGGCAUGAUAAGUCUGGAGUGAAAGGCUACAGCUCAACUGUAGUAUGCUCUGGAAACUGUCAAGCUAGAGUGCAGAAGAGGGCAAUGGAACUCCAUGUGUAGCGGUAAAAUGCGUAGAUAUAUGGAAGAACACCGGUGGCGAAGGCGGUUGCCUGGUCUGAAACUGACGCUGAAGUACGAAAGCGUGGGGAGCAAAUAGGAUUAGAUACCCUAGUAGUCCACGCCGUAAACGAUGAGAACUAGGUGUUGGGGGAAUAACUCAGUGCCGCAGUUAACGCAAUAAGUUCUCCGCCUGGGGAGUAUGCACGCAAGUGUGAAACUCAAAGGAAUUGACGGGGGCCCGCACAAGCGGUGGAGUAUGUGGUUUAAUUCGAAGCAACGCGAAGAACCUUACCAGGCCUUGACAUCCCUUGCAGAGAUAUAGAGAUAUAUCCGAGGUUAUCAAGGAGACAGGUGGUGCAUGGUUGUCGUCAGCUCGUGUCGUGAGAUGUUGGGUUAAGU
rnacentral:rRNA from 1 species